UCCGGUUUGACACCGGCAGUCUCGCUAGAGUCCUCACCAUCACGUGUUAGUAACUAACGAUAGGGGUUGCGCUCGUUAAGGGACUUAACCCGACACUUCACAGCACGAGCUGACGACAGCCAUGCAGCACCUGUAUGAAAGUCAGUACCAUCCCGUUAAGGACUGGUUUUGUUGUUCAUAUGUCAAGGGCUGGUAAGGUUUUGCGCGUUGUAUCGAAUUAAACCACAUGCUCCACCGCUUGUGCAGGCCCCCGUCAAUUCCUUUGAGUUUUAAUCUUGCGACCGUACUCCCCAGGCGGGGUGCUUAAUGCGUUUGCUGCGCCACCGACCGGCAUGCCGACCGACGGCUAGCACCCAUAGUUUACGGCGUGGACUAC
rnacentral:misc_RNA from 1 species